AGCAGCCGCGGUAAUUCCAGCUCCAAUAGCGUAUAUUAAAGUUGUUGCAGUUAAAAAGCUCGUAGUUGAAUUUCGGGGUUAGUAGGCUGGUCGUGCCACUGGUACGUACCGGUCUCACUGAUUCCUCCUUCCUGAUGAACCGUAAUGCCAUUAAUUUGGUGUUGCGGGGAGACUGGACUGUUACUUUGAAAAAAUUAGAGUGUUUAAAGCAAGCUAACGCUUGAAUACAUUAGCAUGGAAUAAUGAAAUAGGACGUUCGAUCCUAUUUUGUUGGUUUCUAGGAUUGACGUAAUGAUUAAUAGGGAUAGUUGGGGGCAUUAGUAUUCAAUUGUCAGAGGUGAAAUUCUUGGAUUUAUUGAAGACUAACUACUGCGAAAGCAUUUGCCAAGGAUGUUUUCAUUAAUCAAGAACGAAAGUUAGGGGAUCGAAGACGAUCAGAUACCGUCGUAGUCUUAACCAUAAACUAUGCCGACUAGGGAUCGGAUGAUGUUAAUUUAAUGACUCAUUCGGCGCCUUACGG
rnacentral:rRNA from 1 species